AGAGUUUGAUCAUGGCUCAGAUUGAACGCUGGCGGCAGGCCUAACACAUGCAAGUCGAGCGGUAACAGGGGAAGCUUGCUUCUCGCUGACGAGCGGCGGACGGGUGAGUAAUGUAUGGGGAUCUGCCUGAUGGCGGGGGAUAACUACUGGAAACGGUAGCUAAUACCGCAUACGCCCUACGGGGGAAAGCAGGGGACCUUCUGGCCUUGCGCGAUUGGAUAUGCCCAGGUGGGAUUAGCUAGUUGGUGAGGUAAUGGCUCACCAAGGCGACGAUCCCUAGCUGGUCUGAGAGGAUGAUCAGCCACACUGGAACUGAGACACGGUCCAGACUCCUACGGGAGGCAGCAGUGGGGAAUAUUGCACAAUGGGGGAAACCCUGAUGCAGCCAUGCCGCGUGUAUGAAGAAGGCCUUAGGGUUGUAAAGUACUUUCAGUUGGGAGGAAGGCGUUGAUGCUAAUAUCAUCAACGAUUGACGUUACCAACAGAAGAAGCACCGGCUAACUCCGUGCCAGCAGCCGCGGUAAUUC
rnacentral:rRNA from 1 species